UGGGGAAUUUUGGACAAUGGGCGAAAGCCUGAUCCAGCAAUGCCGCGUGUGUGAAGAAGGCCUUCGGGUUGUAAAGCACUUUUGUCCGGAAAGAAAUCCUUGGCUCUAAUACAGUCGGGGGAUGACGGUACCGGAAGAAUAAGCACCGGCUAACUACGUGCCAGCAGCCGCGGUAAUACGUAGGGUGCAAGCGUUAAUCGGAAUUACUGGGCGUAAAGCGUGCGCAGGCGGUUUGCUAAGACCGAUGUGAAAUCCCCGGGCUCAACCUGGGAACUGCAUUGGUGACUGGCAGGCUAGAGUAUGGCAGAGGGGGUAGAAUUCCACGUGUAGCAGUGAAAUGCGUAGAGAUGUGGAGGAAUACCGAUGGCGAAGGCAGCCCCCUGGGCCAAUACUGACGCUCAUGCACGAAAGCGUGGGGAGCAAACAGGAUUAGAUACCCUGGUAGUCCACGCCCUAAACGAUGUCAACUAGUUGUUGGGGACUUCAUUUCCUUAGUAACGUAGCUAACGCGUGAAGUUGACCGCCUGGGGAGUACGGUCGCAAGAUUAAAACUUAAAUGAAUUGAC
rnacentral:rRNA from 1 species